UUCUCUUCUUCCCUCUCCUACUUAUGCCACCCCUAGUUCCUUCUACAAUCAUGUUGAUGGUCCCACUGAAGCCAUCAUUUACUGGUGCUCCGAUCUGCCUCCUAGGUCUUUCCCCAGCCGUAUUUUGCUAUUGCCCAUAGCCCUUUAGCUUAUUCACGAAAUUUCGGAGGUGGCAUCUUUUGAUUAGUCUUUUUAUCUCGUUUAUCAAUUGGUAACGGUCGUUUGUGUCAUGGCCAUGAGUCUUGUGGUAUUGGCAAUAUUUGUCUGGGUCUCUUCUGUUUGCUUCUGCUUUCAUAGGCUUGGCCCAUUGUAUGAAGUCUUUGUCCUAGACUGCCACAAGCACUUCGGCUUUGGACACGUUCAGGGGAGUGAUCUUGGUGGGGAGCCAGGGUUGAUAGGGUCUUUGCUCCUUUCUCUCUCACCAGUGUUUGUUCAAUGCCUCCGGUCCCCGAUCCUGCCUCCUCUCCUACCAGUCUUGUCUCUUAUCCUCCUCGACUCUUCCUCUAUCUCUAUCAUCCUUGGAAAACCUGCUUGUGGUUAAGGCGUUGUCCUACCUUAUGUACUUCUCUGCUCUUUUCAUCAGCUCCGCUAGGGUGGUAGGGGGCUUUUUGCAUAAUGACUCGAAGAACUCUGGGGGGGUAGUGCCCUUCUGCAUAGCUUCUACAACUCUCCCUUCAUCAAGCUUAAGUAUCUAAAAAGCCUCAAAGUUGAACCUGACCACGUACUUUCUUAAGAAUUCGUUCCUCCUCUGCUGAAUGGUCUUUAAAUAGCUUGUCUUUCUCUCUGCAGGGACCCCGCGAUGAAUCUGCUAAUGAACAUACUGGCCAAGUCAAGGAAGCUCCUAAUACUUCCUGCCUCCAAGCUAUUAAACCAUGCUCGGGCUGGUCCUAUUAAAGUGGUAGAAAAAAUCUUGCACAUCAAGGCAUUCGAGUGGGUCUGCAGUUCUAUAAAUAUCUUAUAAUUCAAGACAUGCUCCCUGGGGUUUCUCGUCCCAUCAUAAGCUGCCAUUGUUGGCAUCAUGAACUUCUUGGGAAUAGUUUCUAAAACAGCCUGGCCCAAACUGGCCCAAAUAACUUUUGGACCCACUUUUCACUUAGCCCAAAAUGGUUAACCCAAGUUAUUUUGUAGUUUCAUGCUAGCUAUUAUAUACAACUUUUAUUUUCUAUGAUCUCCCAAUGUGGGACGGCUUCCGCAGCAGAAGCAGGCAGCUGACCAUUACAGUUUCUUACUAAACCCAUCUCACAAAUGGUGAUGAGGUUGGUAAUGGGAGAAUGUUGUUAUCUCCUAACUCUGUUAGUAGUUGUUCUUCAGCCUUUCUUACAUCCGAUCUACAUCUACGUCUUCCCUCCUGAGCCUCUUCUCUAAACAACAGUUUCUUUCUAGCUCUUCACUCUCCGACCUUUAAGCUGGCUCGGAGGAAUAGCUCUCAACCCCAUCAUUCUCGAUGAGCUCUCUUACUACCCUACCUCUUAUUUUGACUAUCAGCUCAUUUCUUUGAUUGGCCUCUCCAUCCUUUUCAUUUGUUCUCCUACUGUUCUGUUGAGGAGCUUGAUAGUUUAAUGUGAGUUGGGGUUCAUUGACGUUAAACCCCUCAGCGGUAGGCAGUACACUCAAUGGGAUGUUGAGCCCUUCUUGUUGCAACAUUUGGCCUAGCUAUUGAGUAGUGUUUUGUAAUUAGAGAGCCAUAUUUUGCAGCUAUUGGUCAGAUAAGAUAGUUUGAGGCGCGAUUCCACUAAGCUCGGUGAAGGGCUGAAUAAUAUAGGGGGUUGAGUUAGUGGGGCAGUUGGGCUAGAGAGUGAGAACGUGGUCCUUUCUGAGUUGAACUCAGGUCGUUUGGGGUGUUCCAAUAUGAUUUUCGCCGUGGUUGGCCAUGUGGAUCUUAGUGGGUGAAAUGAGGAUGAGAACUUCGGUGAUGAAAAAAUCUCAUUCGUUCCCACAAACGCGCCAAUUGAUGUUCUGAGAUCCAAUAAAGGGUAAGUUCAAGGUGUAUUUUUGGUAAGCUUAGUCUGGUCUGUCUCCCCUCUACUUUCUUUAUUCCUUUUCUCCUUUGCCUUGUAGUGAUGCAUAACCGCCAUCCUGUGGUACCUCCUACCAUAGUCACGCUUGGCCAUAUGUACGGACGCUAUGUGGACAUGAUCCCGGAUGUUACGAAGUCUGCUGCCCUACGGGUCCGGCAGGUUAAUCGAGUUGGGCCUCCCACAUGUAGGCCCAAGCCCUAUUUGGUCCGUCCAAGUGAGUCUUAGGCUUAUAUGUGAGGCAGGCCUAACUGUUGGAUCUUAAUAGAGUUGAGGCUUGACCUUUUCAACACGGGCUCAGCCAUGACCGGGGUGUCCAUAGCCCGGUUGUCAUCAAUAACAAAGUCAUGAGAUUCAGCAAAAUCCAUAAUUUAGUUUCUAUGAUUUUAAUAAUAAAUAAUAUAUCUCUAAUAUUUUUUUUCUAUUAACAAAAUAGUCAUUCCGUUAAAAUUCACAGCUAAAUCAUAAUAAUUUAAUCCUUCAAAAUUCACUUUUUAUCACAGUUUAAUCCUUAUAAUUUUAAUAAUUUCUAACAAUUUAGUUUUUAUAGUUUUAAUAUUUAUAAUAAUUUAGUCUCUUUAAUUUGAGUUAAAUUCUUUAAUUAACAGAUGCGGUAGAAUUAAUAGAAUGACCAUUUUGUUAAUAAAAUAAAAACUCAAGACUAAAUUAUUUACUAUUAAAUAAGCAGGGACUAAGUUAUGGAUUUUACUAAACCUCAAGGACUAUAAUGUAAAUUACUCAAAAAUCAAUGAAAAACUAAUGUAAACCUCAAGAGAUGGCUUUAAUUUUGUUUUGAUUAGCUUUUAUACCUCUUUUUGAGGCUAUGUACCCUAAAAAAUUUUCAGCCCUUAUCCUAAAAGGUUUCAAGGUUGAGUUUCAUACCAGUUUUAUCCGGUACAUCAAAGACCUUUUGAAUGUCCCGGGGGAUCUUUCAAAGUUUGACUUUUUACUACUAUGUCAUUAAUAUACACUUGUUCCCAAUAGAUCUUUGAAAAUGCCUGACACGAUUCCUUAAUAGGUCACCCUGUAUUCUUUAAUCUGAAUGACAUUAUCUUAUAGCAAAAAACCCCUUCAUCCGUAAUGAAGGCAAUCUUCUCAACAUCCUCAGGAUCUAUAAGGAUCUGGUGAUAUCCUAAAAUGGCAUCUAAAAAAGGGACUAUUGCGUGACUUGAGAUAGAAUCUACUAACCUAUCAAUAGAUUGGAACGGAAAGUGGUUCUUUGGACAUGCUUUAUUUAAUCGGUGAAGUCCAUGUAUAUCCUCCACUUUCCAUUUGCCUUUUUGACGAGCACUACAUUGGCAAACCAUGUAGGAUAUUGGACUUUCCUGAUUAGAUCUGCACUUAAAAGUUUGUUAACUUCUUCCUUAAUCACCUGUUGUCUCUCCAGGGUAAACUUCCUCUUCUUUUACUGUACCGGUUUAGUCGAUUCAUCAAUAGAUAAGUUGUGGAUGAUUAAAGUUGGAUCUACAUCUGUUACAUUCUCCGGAUAUCAUGCAAAGGUUAUCAUUCUACACUUCAGUAAAUUCACCAAGUUAUCUUUUACUAUACUACUUAAUAUAGUUCCAAAACGUACUCUUUUGUCUGCUUCUAAGAGGAUCUCCUCCACCAGGUCUUUCUUUGUAUGAGAAUCUAAUUUUUCUAGUAGAUUAAUUGGUAUCGUUACUUUUUGAGACUUUUUGUAGAGUGCCUAUAGUAUUCUUGCGCUAACUUUUGGCUGCCUCGAACAAUUGCUAAUUCCUUUACAACUAGCAACAUUAAACACAAAGCACCCAUAUUAAUUACUAUCCCGUUUUAGUUUAAGACUGGGUAUUCCAUUAUAGGUGAAUGGAAUGUCUACUAUCGCGAAUUCUGUAUACACCUCUCGCUUAUUCUUUCAGCCCCUAGCACGAGCAGGAAGUUAAUGGUGUCAAACAUUGCCACAGUUUUGUUCCCUAACCCCACUAUUGGGUAGGAUACUGUGGUAAGAUUAUUUUUAUCUAAACUCAAUUUAUUGAAAACUUCCAAAGUGAGAAGGUUAACAGAGCUACUUGUGUCUACUAACACUCGCAUUACAUUAUACUUGUUCAGUCGAACGCUUAUGACUAGAGGGUCAUUAUGUAGAGUCUCUAUCACCCUAUCAGUUGGCUCGAAGUUUACCUCUUCUUUCAUCCAUGUUCUUGUUAUACGGUCAAGACAUUUUCAAGGGCAUGCUUGUUCUUUCCUUUACAGUCACUAGGUCCUCCUACAAUCACAUGUAUAACCCCAAUGAGCUUAUUGUCAAUAGGAUUUUCUAGUAUUCUUACCUCAUACUCGAGUCUCCUGUGCUCUCUAUCUUUCCUGGCAAACUUCCAAAAUGUACCAUCCCUUAUCAACCUUUCAAUUUUAUCCUUUAACUAUUGGCAUUCUUUAGUCAUGUGCCUGUGAUCCUCAUGAAAAUGAUAAUAUUUGAUCCUAUUCUGUCUCCUUGCUUUAUCAAGGUUAAGUUUAGAAGGCCAUCUGACAUUUUUAUAAUUUUUUCUGAUCCACAUCAAAAUAUGUGUGUGUGAAUCAUUUAGUGGAGUAUAAUUCCUAUACUUACCUGGGUCGUUCCUCCCUCUUGACAUAGGAUAAUUCUUCUGAUUUUCUUCAUAGCCAACUUGAACUUGAGAAGAAUGUGUUAGAAUGCAUACUUUGAACUCCAUGUGUACUUUGCUUUUAUACUGUAAUAAAAUAAGGUUAGUAUAAUGACCCGGUGACCGGACCGCUACCGGCGCUAGGAUCCAGUUCGGUUUAAGGCCGCUGGGACCCGUAGCAAGCCUACUAUGCAUUCUGUAAACUUGGUAAGUCCCAUACAUGAUCAAUAAUUUCCAUAAAAAAAAUUGAAACUUUACAUCUACCAAGCUUAACCUGUGCAUGCACACAAUCUCUGUAAACAUAAACCCCAUACUCGAGCCCUCAUCAAAUGCUCUAGUUGGGUCAAAAUGUCAUAUCUUAAGCUUGGUCAUCAACAUAUAUCAUUAUAAAUCAUAAUAAUAUACAAAUCAUGUACAAAAGGGAUCAACCAGUUCUAGGGCCAAGCACAACUCUAUCAUCAUUAUACAUUACAUGACCUUACAUCAUUUUACAAUACAUGUCCACUGUGACUAUUACAUAAACUCUUCUCCUAUAGCUAUCCCAUGCUAUCUCUGGCCCUGCAACCUGGAGGUUAAGGAGAGGGGUAAGCUACUAGAGCCCAGUGAGUAGAGCACCAAGAAAAAUCAAUAAAAUAUGCCUCCAUGAAAUGCAUCACAUUACAAACAAGUCAUAGCAAGGAUGAACUUGUCACCAAUAGUCCUCACACAUGCCAUAGUGCUAGGGCGUAGCAUGGGCUCCUGGUCUUUCUCAUAACAUAAUAAUAACAUAACAUGAUGUUCCAUCAUGCCAGUGGCGUAGAAUGGGCCUCUGGUCUUUCUCUUACAUGGUGCCAGGGCGUAGCAUGGGCCUCUGGACUGUCUCAUAUAUCAUGCCAGGGCGUAGAAUGGGCCCUGGACUUCCCUCAAGGACUAAAGGAUCAUCCAACAUCCAUCCACAUCAAUAAAAUAUAAUGCAAUGCAACAUAUUCGUGAGUUCUAAUGCAAUACAACCUCAUAUAUCCAUGACAUUUAUGAUGCAUGAGUCAUGCUAAAACCUUUCAUUUAAUUUAAAACAUAGUUCAGUUCUACUCACCUCUAGUAGACGCUGGAAUACCUCAGAACCAGCUAACAUUGAGGGUCUCCUUGGUUCCUCAGGUCCGAACCUACACAGGUGGACUCAAAUGAGGUACCGACACACUCUAGCAUAACUCUAAACAUUCCCCCAAAAACCCCCUAAAACAUCAUAAAUAUGCAUGGAAAAACAAGCAAAGGAAGGCUGGACAGGAGACUUUCGGCGGCAGGUUCGGCGGCCGAAGGUCCCUCCAGAGCCGAAAGUCAUGCACUUUCGGAGGCAGGUUCGGCAGCCGAAAGUCCUUUCCAGAGACGAAAGUCACAACCUUCGGCGGUAUGUUCGGCGGCCGAAACUCCACUCCAGAGCCGAAAGUCUAAACUUUCGGGGGCGGGUUUAGGCGGCCAAAACCACCUCCUCAAGGGGUUCGGCGGCCAAACCUUGCUUCGGCGGCCGAACCUGAGUUCUCCAAGAAGGUAGAACUCGAUCCAACCUUAAGUCUCCAGCCUCCAAAACCUCUCCAAAGCAUGCAUAACUCACCAACAAGCUCUCAAACACAUACAUAUACCCAUCUCCAUGCAUAUAGGGGCUUUAGAACUAGCUUAAACCCCAAAAACAACACAACUACACACAUAUGGCUUAUGAUCAACAUAAACCCUACCCAUGCAAACCAUGCAAAACCCAUGCAAAAAAACUCCCUUAAACCCUUCAAACACCCUUAAAAUAUUAGAAAAGAUGAGGAUCCAUGCUUACCUCUUGAAGAUCGAGAGGAUUGAUGGUCUUCACUUGGAGAUGCGAGGAAAAACAGAUCUAGAACCUCCAAGCCUCACAACUUAGCUUCUUUACUCAAAAACUUCAAAACCAACAUGAAAACAACUUAAACCUUGCUCAACUUGAAAGAAAACCAAGAAAUCACCCAAGGAAGAGUAAGAACUCACCUAUACCCGAAAAGAGAGAGAAAACUCACCUCAAAUCCGGAUAAGGGACCCUUUUAUAGGUGGCCGGUCAACCACCUUCGGCAGCCAAAGCUGCCUCCACAGUUUCACCACUUUCGGAAGCCGAACUUGGGCUUCGGUAGCAACGAAAGUAUGCCACCUUCAGCGGCCGAAAGUGAGGUUCGGCGGCCGAACCUUACAUUUCCCUCCUUGAUCUUUUCUUUUCAAAACUCCAAUUUUUCUUACUCAAAUCACUAAAAACAUGUAAAAACAUUUUGAAAACCUUUCUUUUACCCUUCUAAAUAGCUCCGACAUCCUUGAAUUCCGGAUUUCAACGGAGAUUCCAUCGGAAAGUAGGAAUUCCAACGCCGGGGUCUAGCCGGGUAUUACAGUUAGUUAGUGAUUUAUUUAGAAAUCUAGCUAGUAUUGAUUAGUGUAUAAGAAAUUUCAUAAUUAUAGGUGUAAUGAGAUCUAUUGUAUAAUAUCAUUUAAUGGUAAUUAGAUAUCACAAAAGGUUCGAUCAGACACAUGGUAAAUCUUCUAUUAUUUCGAAUAUCAAUUAUUUAAUUGAUUGGAUCUUCUCUCACAAGUGAAACUUGAGUGAUCAAAUGUUAAAAUUUAUUAAGAUUUUUAACACGUAAUUCCACCGUACGAUAAUAAUACGUUAUAUAUUUUGAAUAAUUAUUAUUAUCAAUAGUACAUUAAUUAUUACCUUUAUUUUAAUAUAAUACAAUUUAAAAUUAAAAUUUUUAUUUUUAUUUUACAUUAAAUAUUUAAUUUAGAAGAUAUGAUUAAUUUUUUAUAAUCAAUUAUUUCAUUUAUAAUUAUUUUUAAUAUAACAAAAAAAUUAUUAUUUGUAAAGUUUUAUUCUUAUAAAAAAUUAUUAAUACUCAUUUAUUUUAAUAUUUUUUAGUUGCAUUAAAAUGUUAAUUAUUAUAAAUAAAAAUUAACAUGUUAAAUUAUUUCAAAAUAAUCUUAUAUAAAUUUAACUUAUCAAAUAAUACAUUAAUAAUUAAAGAUUAUUAGUGACAAUUUUCAUCGUAAAGAAUUUCAUAAUGUAGCUUUAAGUUAAAAUUUUAGCUCACAUUAUAAUGGUAAAAAUUUUUUGUUUAAUAGUAAAAAAUUUUAUGGUUAAAAAUUUUAGAAUAUAAUUUAUAUUAAAAGUUUUAGCGAUAAAAAAUAACAAUAAAGAAAUUUUCUUAUGCAACAGUGUUACUGUCGCUGAAUUUAUCAGUGAUGAAUUCAAUUUGUCACUAAAAUUACUAAUUUUUUUAGGAUUUCACAUACGAUUUUUUUAGUUAGUUUUCAAUGUUAUUUUAAUUUACAAUAAAAAUAUAAUUUAAAUAAAAUAUUAAUAUAAUUAUAAAUUAAAAAUUAAAAAUUAAAAAUUAAAAAUUUCUUAUUCGUAAAUAUCACAUAGAAAUGGGUAGUUUUAGCAAAAUUAUUAUUCUCCUUUUUCUUUUAUUAUUUUUAUUUUAUUUUAUUAUCAAAAAUAAAAUGCACACACAUAAUUAUAGAUAAUUAUAGAUUAUUGAUAUCUAUUAUAAUUUUAAGUUUUAAAUAAAUUAUAACCAAAAUAGUAAAUCCCUAAACCUAAUUUCCGGAUCCCCUUUAUCCAUUCCCAUCAUCCACCCAAACUCUCGAGUCCCAUCAGUUGCAAGCCUGCAACCCCGUUAGCCGAUUCCUAUCAGCUGGACUUCGGUCUUAGCACAGCCACCCGUGGCCAUCUGCUGUCGUGCUUUCUCCAUGAGCUGCUAUUGAUUCCCGAUCAGGUGAUUUUCCAUAAGACAAUAUGCUCUGGUUUUGUUUUGGUUUUUUCAUUUUGAUAAUAUUUUCAUUCUCUGUUUUUUUUUUUUGAAAACGUAUAUAGUUUGUAAAUGAUUCAUAUCUAAAUAAUCAAUGUAUUGAAUUUGCUUAUGGAUGUAUUACUCAGUUUUUGGAUGUUUUGUUUUGUGUAGCUAAUAGACUAUUAGUCCACUUCUGUUGUUUUUCGUAUCGGGCUUUAAUCAAUUUGGUCCCUUCUGAUACGGUAUUGUGCUUUAAAGGAUGGAAUCCCUAAAGUAGAUCCCAUGUUUAGCUGUACCUUGAUGAGCAGGAUCCUGUUUCCUUUGAAUUUGCUGAAGUUUUUCUGAUUUAGUUGCAGCUCAACAUUGAUUCGUAAUUCAAUAUAAUAUACUUUACCUUAGAAUGCUGGUUGUGUGGAGCCUUGAAAAUUGCAAUUUUGUAAAACCUUGUUUAUGCCUGAGUUUUAAAGUUUCCUCAGUACCUAUGUGUAUUCAGUUGGCAUUAGAGCAUAUCAGAAACUUCUUUUAUAUGUUUCACUCUUAUUCUUUUGGUAAUUUCUGUAUUUGGCACUUGGUGUAUAAUUUAAUGCUUUGUUCAAUGAGGCCAUUAGCUAUAUAGAAAUGGAACUAAACCAUAAAAAUGGUUUCUCCAAUGUAUAACUUACUAAUUUAAAUUACGAAACCAUAAUUUCCCUUUAAUUAAUUGAUAAAAGAAAAAGUUCAUCCUUAUCAAGCUCAUUUUUUAAAUUAAAGUUUAACUUUAAUAGAAGCACUUUAAAAUUUUAUAAAAAUUUUUAAAUAUACGCAGGUUAUAUUAUACCUUUAAAAUUAUUUAAUAAAAAGAUUAAGGCCAAUAUAGUAAUAUUCUCAUAGAUAAGAAAGGAAGAAAAUAUUUUUGAAAUUAGGGGAAUUAUACAUAUACAAAAAGAAACAAGGCAAUGUUUAGAUAUAUUGAUUAAUUCUAAGGGUAUCUAAUAGAACUGAUAAAAGAAGAAAAAAAAGUGAAAUUAAUAUCACAAAUAUGUGCUAAGGUAAUAAUUGUGGAAUCAGCUCUUGGUAAGUUAUCUUAUAGGAAUACAAAAUGAGAUUUUUCUACUUAAUUGGCAGCUAGGCAAACCUUUAUUAGUAAGGGACCACAAAAUAAUAGCUCAAUAGUUGUCAUCUGAUGAGUAUGGAAUAAAAAUGAGAGUUGAUGUUUUUUUCCACAGGUAUCAUAGAUUGGAUCCAAAUAAAAGGACUAUUGGACUUGACAUCCUAUCUAUAAUACAGUUUUUUCAGUCACCACAUGUAUGUGAAAUGAUGCUGUUCUAUGACUAUAAUUUUGAGUAUACCAUGAAAUUGGUACCAUUUGAAACCCUAUACUAGUGUGCAUUAGUUAUAGAGUGUAGAAAUGAUGGAAAAUUUGUUAUUAGAAAAUGAUAUCAGUUAGUGAACUAAUCAUCGGUCUCAACUCUCAAGGAAAAAGGCAAUAGAAACACCAAAAUAUAGGCAAGCUGGUCUGUGAUUAGGCGUUAGUAGAUUAAUGUUGGAGAGAAUCAUAUAAAUAAAAGAAGAAAAUUGUAGGAAUAAAGAGUUAAAUGGGCUCUAUUGCUUAUUUUUCUUUUCUUUUCUUUUAUUUUAUUUAGAUUUGCAAAAUAAGGAUUCUAUGUACUUUUUUCCUUGGCCUCCCUUAGGUUUUGAUUGCCUUGACUAUCAUUUUGUAUUGCUGCGUGUAAAAAUGUCUUUGUUUAUGAGAUUAAAAUUCUGCCCAAAAAUCUCUUAUAUAUGCUUUUUUCUUCCAAAAGAUAAUUAUAAAAAGUUUAAUUAAUUAGUUAUACAAAAAGUAAGCACAAAACUAAUAUUCCACGACCUAUAUAUUUAUAUAUGAGUCCGAAUGGGUAUUGUUAAAUCUGGAAAAGGGUCUAGUGCAACUUAAAAUGACCUGUUAUUUUGGAUAGCUAAUAUUACUCUCCAUAUGUCCAUCGCCAUCGCGCAUGAGGUGUCUAUCUUUGUAGUACUUGAAGAUUUUAAAUUGAAAUAAUUUUAUUGUCAAUUUUUUGAAUCAAGUUACCACAACAACAAUAUGGGCCCAUCCGGAUUGAAAUUUCCUAAUGCAAAAUAAUUAUGUUAGCAAAUUAUAUAAGUGUAAAAUAUUUUUCGAUACAAAUUUUUAUUUUAUGCCAACGCUUUUAAAAUUAUUUUUAGGAUUAAUGGUAAUUUUAAUGGUAGGACUAAUUUAUAAGUUUAUUCAAAUGUUGAGUUGGAUUUUAAAAAUAUAAAAUCUAAGUUGAAAAUGUAUUUUUUUGUCAAACUAAAUUGAAAAUGUUUUUUUUUUGUCAAACUAAAUUGAAAAUGUUACUAAACUGUAAAGUCUAAAAGGUUUUUCUUUUAAUUUAUAAGGUAACAAAUUUUUAAGUGUAUAAAAUAUUAUUGAUAAAUAUAUCAGGUGAUUUUUGAUAUUAUAAACUAAUUUGAUUAAUCAUAAGUUAAAAAAAAUAAAAGAAUAAGCGGGAUAAGAGGAUAUUCAUUUUGGUGUAUAUAAACCAACUUGAGGCGUAUAAAUAUUUAUUAAGUUGGAUUAGGUUUUACUCUAGAUUUAUCCCAUAAUUUGCCCUUCUUCCUCUAUACUUCACCUUCACCAUUUCUUAUUCUUCUAUUCUUCAUCACUGCAACUUGCGAGUUAGGGUUUCGCAGCCUCACUAAAAUGCCAGCAACUCAUCACAACCUUGCUUGCAACAUGUCCGCACCCACCCGUAGGCCAUAGCAACCUUGCUUUACUUCUUGCCUGCGGCCCUUCAUGGCCUUCAUCCCCAACCUCUGUGAAAUCCGAGUCCUCCAUUACAGUGACCGUACGAUGCAAUUGUUGCAUGUAUUUUUGGUUUGAGUCUGCAUUUUAUUUAAGCUUUAAUGUGUUAUUUUAUGCUUGGGGUUGGUGAUUUGAACUUAUGCACUG
rnacentral:lncRNA from 1 species